AACACUGUUAACCUGCGGUACCUGCGGAGGGAUCAUUACCGAGUUUACAACUCCCAAACCCAAUGUGAACCAUACCAAACUGUUGCCUCGGCGGGGUCACGCCCCGGGUGCGUCGCAGCCCCGGAACCAGGCGCCCGCCGGAGGGACCAACCAAACUCUUUACUGUAGUCCCCUCGCGGACGUUAUUUCUUACAGCUCUGAGCAAAAAUUCAAAAUGAAUCAAAACUUUUAACAACGGAU
rnacentral:misc_RNA from 1 species